rnacentral:lncRNA from 1 species
AUGAAAUCAAUGAUCGCCGCACUCUAACUCACCUGGAUCUGCACAUAAAGUGCAGGGUGUACUAUGAAUACUACCACCUCAGUAGUAACAGAAAUAACUAAGGAACUGAGCAGUAGUGACGAGCUAAGUAAAACAGUUCAAUUAUUUAUUUUCACAACUUAAAGAUAAACCAGUAAAUUUCAUAACUCAGUAAAUAUCACAAAGAAAUUUAACAGAUAAAUG